AUGCAAGUCGAACGGCAGCACGGGAGCUUACUCCUGGUGGCGAGUGGCGAACGGGUGAGUAAUAUAUCGGAACGUACCCUAGAGUGGGGGAUAACUAGCCGAAAGAUUACGCUAAUACCGCAUACGAUCUACGGAUGAAAGUGGGGGCUCGCAAGACCUCAUGCUCAUGGAGCGGCCGAUAUCUGAUUAGCUAGUUGGUGAGGUAAAGGCUCACCAAGGCAUCGAUCAGUAGCUGGUCUGAGAGGACGACCAGCCACACUGGGACUGAGACACGGCCCAAACUCCUACGGGAGGCAGCAGUGGGGAAUUUUGGACAAUGGGGGCAACCCUGAUCCAGCAAUGCCGCGUGAGUGAAGAAGGCCUUCGGGUUGUAAAGCUCUUUUGUCAGGGAAGAAACGGUGAAGGCUAAUAUCCUUUGCUAAUGACGGUACCUGAAGAAUAAGCACCGGCUAACUACGUGCCAGCACCCGCGGUAAUACGUAGGGUGCAAGCGUUAAUCGGAAUUACUGGGCGUAAAGCGUGCGCAGGCGGUUAUGUAAGACAGAUGUGAAAUGCCCGGGCUCAACCUGGGAACUGCAUUUGUGACUGCAUGGCUAGAGUGUGUCAGAGGGGGGUAGAAUUCCACGUGUAACAGUGAAAUGCGUAGAUAUGUGGAGGAAUACCGAUGGCGAAUGCAGCCGCCUGGGAUAACACUGACGCUCAUGCACGAAAGCCUGGGGAGCAAACAGGAUUAGAUACCCUGAUAGUCCACGCCCUAAACCAUGUCUACUAGUUGUCGGGUCUUAAUUGACUUGGUAACGCAGCUAACGCGUGAAGUACACCGCCUGGGGAGUACGGUCGCAAGAUUAAAACUCAAAGUAAUUGACGGAGACCCGCACAAGCGGUGGAUGAUGAGGAUUAAUUCCGAUGCAACGCGAAAAACCAUACCUACCCAUGACAUGUACGGAAUCCUGAAUAGAUUUGGGAGUGCUCGAAAGAGAACC
rnacentral:rRNA from 1 species